AAGGUCCUCUGGAUUGUAAACUUCUUUUAUCUGGGACGAAACACUGGUUUUCUAACCAGCUUGACGGUACCAGAGGAAUAAGCACCGGCUAACUCCGUGC
rnacentral:rRNA from 1 species